UGAGGAAUAUUGGUCAAUGGUCGGGAGACUGAACCAGCCAAGCCGCGUGAGGGAUGAAGGUACAGAGUAUCGUAAACCUCUUUUGUCAGGGAACAAAAGGCGCCACGCGUGGCGCUCCGAGUGUACCUGAAGAAAAAGCAUCGGCUAACUCCGUGCCAGCAGCCGCGGUAAUACGGAGGAUGCGAGCGUUAUCCGGAUUUAUUGGGUUUAAAGGGUGCGUAGGCGGCGAGUUAAGUCAGCGGUAAAAGCCCGGGGCUCAACCCCGGCCCGCCGUUGAAACUGGCUUGCUUGAGUUGGAGAGAAGUAGGCGGAAUGCGCGGUGUAGCGGUGAAAUGCUUAGAUAUCGCGCAGAACUCCGAUUGCGAAGGCAGCCUACCGGCUCCAGACUGACGCUGAGGCACGAAAGCGUGGGUAUCGAACAGGAUUAGAUACCCC
rnacentral:rRNA from 1 species